rnacentral:misc_RNA from 1 species
AGCAAGCUCAACAGUACCCUUGUCAACCUUAAUGCCAGGCAACACACCACCUUCCUUCAAAACAUCAACAAACGACUUGCCUGCAGCUGUCUUCUGGUAGAGAGUCUCCUCAAACAGGAUAACUCCACUGAGAUAUUGAAGGGCACCAGGAGUGAGGAAGAGGAGUUCCCGGAGUGCGCGUCGGUUUGACUCAACAUUCUCAACAUUGAUACUCGCUAGACGUUUGCCGAUGGUACCAGUUGACUCAUCAGCAGCAAGGAUACCCUUU